rnacentral:rRNA from 2 species
GGUUAAGCGACUAAGCGUACACGGUGGAUGCCCUGGCAGUCAGAGGCGAUGAAGGGCGUGCUAAUCUGCGAUAAGCGCCGGU